rnacentral:lncRNA from 1 species
AUGUGGGAGAACUGCCGAAAGUUAAGAUGGUUCCCCAACUCCAGAGUCACACAGAGCAAAGGUGAUAUAUUGUUUGCUACCUAUGGAUUGGGCAUCUAUUAGGAUCUGGAAAAUGGGAGGUGUCCAGUUCCCCUUUCUUACGGCCACUGCACCAAAACAUGGGACCUCACACACUGCUAGAUAAAAAUGUGGAAAUGAUAAAACUUACCGUGUGUAUACAAGCCUGCUGUCUCCCUUAAUUUCAAAGAAACUGUCCGAUUGCUAACACACAUGGAAAUCACCCUUUCAUAAUUUCUGUGAGUCUAAGGGUAGCUCCUCUAAAGUAUAUUGGAACCAGGGAAGCAACAACACCAAAUACAAAGUGAAUAUGAGUAUGUGUACAAAUUAUCUUGCUUUUCUAUGCAUUCAGAUGAGGCCUCGCAUUCUGUAUGUAAU